CUAAGAAUCUUCCGCAAUGGACGAAAGUCUGACGGAGCGACGCCGUGUGAAUGAAGAAGGCCGAAAGGUUGUAAAAUUCUUUUGCAGAUGAAGAAUAAACAUAGGAGGGAAUGCCUAUGAGAUGACGGUAAUCAUGCGAAUAAGCCCCGGCUAAUUACGUGCCAGCAGCCGCGGUAACACGUAAGGGGCGAGCGUUGUUUGGAAUUAUUGGGCGUAAAGGGUAUGUAGGCGGUUAGGUAAGCCUGGUGUGAAAUCUACGAGCUCAACUCGUAAACUGCAUUGGGUACUGCUUGACUUGAAUCACGGAGGGGAAACCGGAAUUCCAAGUGUAGGGGUGGAAUCUGUAGAUAUUUGGAAGAACACCGGUGGCGAAGGCGGGUUUCUGGCCGAUGAUUGACGCUGAUAUACGAAGGUGCGGGGAGCAAACAGGAUUAGAUACCCUGGUAGUCCGCACAGUAAACGAUGUACACUAGGUGUCGGGGCAAGAGCUUCGGUGCCGUAAGCAAACGCAUUAAGUGUACCGCCUGGGAAGUAUGCCCGCAAGGGUG
rnacentral:rRNA from 1 species